rnacentral:rRNA from 1 species
AGGAUAAACGCUGGCGGCGUGCCUUAUGCAUGCAAGUCGAACGAGGCUAGGAUUUCGGUCCGAAACCUAGUGGCGGACGGGUGAGUAACACGUACGUGACCUGUCCAGAAGUGGGGAAUAACCAGCCGAAAGGUUGGGCUAAUACCGCAUGUGGUUACUUCUUAGAAGGAGCAAACCAAAGUCGCAAGACGCUUCUGGAGGGACGUGCGGCCGAUUAGCUAGUUGGUGUGGUAACGGCGCACCAAGGCUGUGAUCGGUAGCUGGUCUGAGAGGAUGAUCAGCCACACUGGGACUGAGACACGGCCCAGACUCCUACGGGAGGCAGCAGCGAGGGAAUUUGCGCAAGUGGGACGAAAGCCUAGACGCAGCAACGCCGCGUGGGGAAGAAGGCUCGUUGGGUCGUAAACCCGUUUUGCCGGGAAGAUAAGUGACGGUACCGGCGAAAUAAGCCGACGGACUAACUACGUCGCCAGCAGCCGAC